rnacentral:rRNA from 1 species
GACACGCUGGCGGCGCGCCUAACACAUGCGAAGUCGAACGAGCGAGAGAGAGCUUGCUUUCUCGAGCGAGUGGCCGAACGGGUGAGUAACGCGUGAGGAACCUGCCUCAAAGAGGGGGACAACAGUUGGAAACGACUGCUAAUACCGCAUAAGCCCACGGCUCGGCAUCGAGGCAGGGGGAAAAGGAGCAAUCCGCUUUGAGAUGGCCUCGCGUCCGAUUAGCUAGUUGGUGAGGUAACGGCCCACCAAGGCAACGAUCGGUAGCCGGACUGAGAGGUUUGAACGGCCACAUUGGGACUGAGACACGGCCCAGACUCCUACGGGAGGCAGCAGUGGGGAAUAUUGCACAAUGGGGGAAACCCUGAUGCAGCGACGCCGCGUGGAGGAAGAAGGUCUUCGGAUUGUAAACUCCUGUUGUUGGGGAAGAUAAUGACGGUACCCAACAAGGAAGUGACGGCUAACUACGUG